UGAUAAGUCUUUCUGUUUUAUCCAGCUACC
rnacentral:piRNA from 1 species